rnacentral:sRNA from 1 species
GUGAUAAAUAAAGGCAUUAAUUCUCAAGAGUUAUCUACAGAACAGAUACAGCCUGAGCAGUGGCCAUGCAAGCUCUCUCCACACUGCCCUGCUAAUUUGCCUCAAAAGCCUGGGCUAGAAAGCCCACCGUUUAAGGGAGAUUGUAAUUUAAUUUCCAUGGACCAUUCAAUCCUUGGCUUUU